UGAGUAUUAAGCUUCAGACUUGGAAAUAGUAUUAUAACUUAUUUUAUUUUGUAGUCGCUUUGAUAAAUGUGUUGUAAAUUAAAGUUUUAUUGUAAACACGUUAUAAUGUUAUUCUAGAUCUUGCUAAAUCGAGAGCAGUGCUGUGGAAUGUACAUGGAACAAAAGCAGUGGUGUGAAAGCUAAACUAUUCUUAAUGGGACAAAAUCAAUGCUCUUGCACGUAGCAUACAAGGGGAGGAGACUGAUUUAGUUUUCCGAAAGAUGAAGUUUACCCUGCUAUCUGUCCUUUGCACAUUAUACUCCAGGGAUUGGUGACUUGAUACACACAGGUGAGGAUUAGGAUUCUUGUCCCCCUGCCGCCGGUCGUAUUUCUCCAGAGCUUCACUGCUGUGCCAUGCAGGGCUGGGCUCCCAGUCCUCUUCCAACCCUCACACGGAAUCCACAAAACCACUGAGUGCUGCACUUUCACACCUAUCACAAUCCUGGGGUGUCCUCUCCCAUCCCAUCCCAUCCCAUCCCAUCCCAUCCCAUUCCCAUCCCAUCCCAGACCAGACCAGGAUCUAGUCCUUUCUCCUGAGUCUUGGGUGCUGAAGGAAGCAGAUUGAGGUGAGGAAUCCCAUGCUUGGAUUCUCUCUGUCAAUUUGUAUUGAGGUGCUGUGUAUUCUGAAGUCUUGCUGGUGCACAAUCCUGAAUCGACACACCGAUUGCAUGUCAUCGCUAUGAAGCUGGAUUGACCCGCUAAAAACAGUGGAACCCGAGUAACGAUUGGUUCUAAAGUCAAAAUUCCAAGAUUCAUCAUUAUCGCUGCCUCGACACUGAACCUGGAAGUCAUCUGCACAGCCUCUCGUGGAUACACGCAAGUUGACGUUCUGCAGCGUCGCUCUGGUAAAAUGGUGCCUGCUUUGAGUCUCGGAAUGUUUUGGUCACAUCUUGCUGAUUUCAAAUAAAGAUUGCAUUCAGUAUGUUCUA